GGGCGAAUAGCUCAGUUGGUAGAGCGCUUCGUUUACACCGAAGAUGCCGGGGGUUCGAGUCCCUCUUCGCCCACCA
rnacentral:tRNA from 1 species